rnacentral:rRNA from 1 species
UACGGAGGGGGCUAGCGUUGUUCGGAAUUACUGGGCGUAAAGCGCGCGUAGGCGGACCUGCAAGUCGGGGGUGAAAGCCCGAGGCUCAACCUCGGAACUGCCUUCGAUACUGCGGGUCUCGAGUCCGGGAGAGGUGAGUGGAAUUCCUAGUGUAGAGGUGAAAUUCGUAGAUAUUAGGAAGAACACCAAUGGCGAAGGCAGCUCGCUGGGACGGUACUGACGCUGAGACGCGAAAGCGUGGGGAGCGAACAGG